UCGGCAGACCGCUCAGUAACACGCGGAUAAUAUGCCCUAAGGUGGAGGAUAACCUCGGGAAACUGAGAAUAAUACUCCAUAGAUCUAGGAUGCUGGAAUGCUUCUAGGUUGAAAACUCCGGUGCCUUAGGAUUAGUCUGCGGCGUAUCAGGUUGUAGUGGGUGUAACGGACCCACUAGCCGAUGACGCGUAAGGGCCUUGAGAGAGGAAGCCCUGAGAUGGACUCUGAGACAUGAGUCCAGGCCCUACGGGGCGCAGCAGUCGCGAAAACUUCACAAUGGGGGAAACCCCGAUGAGGGAAUUCCAAGUGUCAGCACAUUGUGUUGACUGUUCUCCCGUCUAAAAAACAGGAGAAGUAAGGGCCGGGUAAGACGGGUGCCAGCCGCCGCGGUAAUACCCGCGGCCCGAGUGGUGGUCGAUAUUAUUGAGCCUAAAACGUUCGUAGCCGGUCUUGUAAAUCCUUGGGUAAAUCGGCCAGCUUAACUGUCCGAAGUCCGGGGAGACUGCAAGACUUGGGAUCGGGAGAGGUCAGAGGUACUUCUGG
rnacentral:rRNA from 1 species